rnacentral:rRNA from 1 species
GAGUUUGAUCCUGGCUCAGAACGAACGCUGGCGGCGUGCCUAACACAUGCAAGUCGAACGAGAAUGCAGGCUUCGGUCUGCUAGUAAAGUGGCGCACGGGUGAGUAACACGUGGGUAACGUACAUCGUAGUGGGGGAUAACCAGGUGAAAGCUUGGCUAAUACCGCAUGAGUCUGUCGGGACGCGAGUCCUGACAGGGAAAGUGGAGCAAGUCCACGCUACCGAGAUCGGCCCGCGGCCCAUUAGCUAGUUGGCGGGGUAACGGCCCACCAAGGCGACGAUGGGUAGCUGGUCUGAGAGGAUGAUCAGCCACACUGGAACUGAGACACGGUCCAGACUCCUACGGGAGG